rnacentral:lncRNA from 10 species
AGCAGCCGCAGAACCAUGUGACACAGCUGACCGAGGCAGCAUUGCAGAUACAUUUGUGUGCCUGCAGAUCUCAGAUACAGGAAACAGACCCAUCCAAAGCCGUUUGGGGUUUUAUCAAGGGGUCAUUUAAGAUGCAGAGCAACUUGAAAUCGCCCAUCUGUUGGAGAGCCGUGCGUGCUGACAGAGGGGGCCCGGGCCAGAGACGCAUCCGACAUCCCAUCUGGGAACAACGGCCUCAAAGAAUGGGGAGCAGCGAGGGCCGCCAGACACUGAGUCCUUCUGGAUCUUUCUGGCCAGGCUCCUUCCCUGGCAUCUGGGCUCGGUGGGGGUGGUCUGCCCCCUCAUUCCCGCAGACCCUGGCCCCUGGCAGGGCCCCCAGUCUCCACCUGCCCUGUCUGUUUCCUCCCCAGUGUAACUAUGCUGUAGAAAUAUAUUUUGGCCACACCCUGCAUGAAGGUUCCAGUCUCUGUGUCUGUGGGAAGGGCUAAUCUGCGGCAAGAAGUGGUCCCUGGGAUGGAAAGAUCCUGACACAACGGAGGUUUGUGUCCUGCUCAUGCAACGGCUCUGCCUGGUGAGCCUGGCUUCCUGGCACUCACGCCCUUGCGGUUUCUUCCACGUAGUCCCAGGUGAGUCUGUGCGGCCGACAGCAUGCGGCAGAGUGCAGAUGGGUCACUUCCGAAACUGGGCUGGACAUGCCAGGUCUCCCUCCUGGUUGCUCUGUCUCCUGGGUCACGGGCUUGGGUGAAGCCAGCAGCCAUGCCGUGGGAACUCAGGCGACGCGAGAACAGAGCGAUCUCCCGAGGUGCACGGGACUCCAGACAACAGCCCGCAAGGACCAAAGCCUGCCAGCAGCUGUGCAGGACCCUCGAAAAGUCUCCUGGGGCCAAUAGAGCCCUCACACGGCAGCAGACUCUGGGGGCCUUGGGAGGAGUGGCUGCAUUUUGCUGGGAGAAUCACAGAAUCUCUGGGGCCUGAGGGCCCGGGACGGCCCAGAGACAAGGAGGUACUCAAAGCUGUGUGUCGUCCUCCCAUGCCGGGCCAGGUGUGUCCAUGUGACCAGAGCACAAGUGGAUGCCACUCCUGAGUCCAGGGCCUGAAGGACCCUGUGGCUUCCCUCUGGGUCACUCUGUCUGCCUUGGGUCACUCGUCCUGAAGGAAGCCAGCCACUGCGUGCGGGGCCCUGCGUGGAGAGGCCCUCAUGGUGAGGAGACGUCCGGCCCACAGCCACGAGGAGCC